UGGACAAAUUAUUGUAUUCAACUGUAUUCACGGCGUGAAACAGGGGAUUACAAUGUUUUUAAACGGAAAGUGAAUCAAUUAACAUAAUAGACUCCU
rfam:Nicotiana attenuata strain TT chromosome 7, whole genome shotgun sequence.